CCUGAUGCAGCGACGCCGCGUGAGGGAUGACGGCCUUCGGGUUGUAAACCUCUUUCAGCAGGGACGAAGCGCAAGUGACGGUACCUGCAGAAGAAGCGCCGGCCAACUACGUGCCAGCAGCCGCGGUAAGACGUAGGGCGCGAGCGUUGUCCGGAUUUAUUGGGCGUAAAGAGCUCGUAGGCGGCUUGUCGCGUCGACUGUGAAAACCCGCGGCUCAACCGCGGGCCUGCAGUCGAUACGGGCAGGCUAGAGUUCGGUAGGGGAGACUGGAAUUCCUGGUGUAGCGGUGAAAUGCGCAGAUAUCAGGAGGAACACCGAUGGCGAAGGCAGGUCUCUGGGCCGAUACUGACGCUGAGGAGCGAAAGCGUGGGGAGCGAACAGGAUUAGAUACCCUGGUAGUCCACGCUGUAAACGUUGGGCGCUAGGUGUGGGGGACCUCUCCGGUUCUCUGUGCCGCAGCUAACGCAUUAAGCGCCCCGCCUGGGGAGUACGGCCGCAAGGCUAAAACUCAAAGGAAUUGACGGGGGCCCGCACAAGCGGCGGAGCAUGCGGAUUAAUUCGAUGCAACGCGAAGAACCUUACCUGGGUUUGACAUCGCCGGAAAACUCGUAGAGAUACGGGGUCCUUCGGGGC
rnacentral:rRNA from 1 species